AAACAUAUCAGGGGGGCAUUUCCUUGUUAAAUCUUUGAAUCUUUCCUAGGCUUCAUAAAUUAUCUCACCAUCCUACUGUCUGAAUGUCUGCAAUUCAGUUCUCAGCCU